CCAGAGAUCGAGGAGAAGUCUUCUGGAAUACGGCACUGCUUAGCAUAGAACAAACUAGCUUUUUAUUAUUACACGAAUAUGAAUACAAGGUCUCCGAUAUUACAAUGAAUAACAUCGGCACGGCGACACUACGCCAUCCUCAGUUGCUCUAUGCAAGCAGAAGAACAACUCGAAGCAGCGGAAUAACUCUAGCAGCGGAACAAUGACGACGGUGGUGAACUCCACUCCGCAGGGACUCUAGCUGGAACGCUUAUCCUAGCUCGCACGAACGGAAACCACAACAAGCAAGCAAUCAAAUCCGGCAUGACCUGCAAACUGGCAUGACACGCCAGGUCAGUACAUUGAAUGUACUUGCAAGCUCACAAUAAUCCAGAAGCAUUCAAGACAAACAACAGCAUGGCAAUUACAGGUUAAACAGGAAUUAUCAUGAUAUCAUCAGAAUAACAUGGCAUGACCAAUAUAAACAUGAUACAGCUAACACAACAUGAGCAUAUUAAUCCGACAAUACUAGCAUGCAACAUGAUGACACUAUAUGCACCACUUAUUCUGCUCGGGUUACCUCGUAACCAACUCAUGCAUCACUUACCAACCUCGUACAUCACACGAUCAUCUCAGGAUCAAAUCAAGCUUGGUAUAAACAAUACCGUAGUAAUCAGUAAAUGACCACAAGGAGCUUGAUCUUUACCCAUGACUCUCGUACAACAUCACGAUUAUACAACGACUCGGUAUCCUCGAUACCAUCGUGAUCCUUACGGCGAUCACAACCACGACCAACACUUGGUCCCAAACCGUGAUCCUUACGGCGAUCACAACCCGACCAAUACAUGGCCCGUGAUCCUUACGGCGAUCACAACCCGACCACUAACUGGCCCGUGAUCCUUACGGCGAUCACAACCCGACCACUAAAUGGCCCGUGAUCCUUACGGCGAUCACAACCAACUUAUCUCAUUGUUAUUAAGCACAUUAUUCUUAUUACUGUUGACUCAUGGUGUGACCUAGUUUCGACCUGGGCCCUUAUCCGCGGGCGCGGCUAUCGAUAGAUUUAAUAUACACUCUGCAGAGGUUAGUACACUGUACCCACACUACGGAACCCAUGGCCUCGCACUCCCAUUCGGGUGGACCAACAGUGUUCCGACAAAACCGUCCAACUGCCAUGACACUCUCCCGGCCACUCCGACUCACUCCCCACUGGGCUAAGUCAUGGGUGGCCCCGUGUCUACCUCCAGACACAACGACCACCGCCGUGGCCCGUCCCACACGGGGACACGUAUCCAAAAACUCAAACAACUCAACAACGGGCACACAAGGUUAUGCCUGCUUACUGGGCCAGGGUACAGCACGCCCAUAACCUUCCCUCGUUGGAGGCACCGGCGAGAGGCACGACAAUAGACCCAGUUAGGACCGUCCCAUACCGGUAAGCGUGGUUGCACUGGUCAGCAUCGAUUCAGCGGCACCAUGACUCAGCCAACAGUUGUUCAAGUUCAAUUUAAUCCGGUUAACUUGAAUGCAAAUAUGCUGAGCCAUGAUAAAAUGCAUGAACAUGAUAUCAACAUAAUCAUGAGGUAUCACAUAAUUAUCCACCAUAUCAACAAUAACUCAUAUCCACUGAACAUGGAAUUCUGACUAGCAUGACCAUCACCAACAUCAACAUGUACCACUAGCAAUCAUAAACAUAUGAAAGGUAAUACUAGCAGGUAGAACAUGAUCACAAAGUACAAAACAACAUAGCACAAAAGUGAACAUGCAAAUCUGAACAUCACUAGAACAACGAUAACCAUCUUUUCAACAAGCAAACCUUUAUAAAGAUUUAAUUUGAAAACCAUGGCUACUGCAUGACUAUCAUGCAAGUGGGUAUUGUGGCUUGCCUGGGGAUGAAGAAGGCACCGGGGAGAAGUGCGGUGAAGCCGCGGAAAGAUUUGCCGGAAACAGUUCUCUCUCGGAGGGGCUGUUUACGCGCAAGGGCAAAAAGGUUAUUUUCAAUAUGCCAAAACAUAAUGAAAGUGACACCAACGGAAAGGGCUCGACGAAACGAAGAAGUGAGCGUUGGUUUCACCUCAUUUGGAGCUACGGAUAAAAAGAUAUGGAGACUUGAAUUUCAGGGACUUUUCUGCAAGAAUUUCAUCACAAAGAAGUCCCUGAGUGGAUAAGGCAGAAGCGCAAAGUUAGAAAUACGUUUUCAGAACCGAGAAAACGCCUUCUAAGCUGAAGCAGAAUGAAACUACGCCUUCCAGCUGGGAAGACGUAUUCCGAAGAAUAUGCCUCCACUUAUCCAGCGUGGCAAGGCGGGGCCAGGGGGCUUAGAGGCUUACAGGUGGGGUCCGCCUUAUCCAUCUCUCUCCUGGCUCCCUUCUUCUUCCUCCCGCGUACGCGCGCCUGGCCGAGGGAGGAGCUCACCCCGACGGUGAUUGCCGGCGGCACAGGUCACCUCAGACGGAGCCCGACCUACCGGCGGGUUCAGGAGACCAAGACGUGCACGCCCAUGUAGGUCUCGACCGCCGUGGAGCUUGGGGAAUAGCAGAACGUCGACCACGGCGGAGCAUGCCGUCGGCCACCGGUGGGCUCGUGGCUACAAGCCACUUGAGGAGGAGAGGUGACGAGGUGGUUCGGUAGAGGUGGUGGAGGCCUCGGGAAGUGGUGGAGCGGAGGGAGAAGGUUAGGGUCGCCGGAAUCAAAGUGGACAGGGGCGGCGGCCAUGGCGAUGGUGAGGGGCACAGAGAGCUCCUCGAGCCCGGGGGAGAAGCUAGGCGGGGCUAGAGGAGGUGCAGGAGGCUAGUGGUGAGCUCGGGAGGCUCGGGGGAUGGCUAUAUAUAGCCGGGCGAGAGGGAGCCGCGCUGGCGUCGCCGUGGACGCGUGGCCGGCGCCACGGACGCGUCCCCACGUGCAUGGACUCAGAGGUAGACGACGUAGGAGGCACAGGGGAGAGCUGCACGGGGCAGGAGGGGCCGAGGGGAAGCAGAGGAAGAAGCCGAGCGCCAUUAAUGCGCUGUCGGCCACAGAGCUCCCGUGGGCGAGCGGCGACGAGCGCUGACGGAGGGGGAGAGGGCUCCAGGAGGACGGCGACGACGCGGUCCAGCUGUUAGACAUGCUCACGAGCGCGAAGACGACGAGAGGAGGAGGGGCCCGAGCAAGAAACCAAUCUGGACGCGGCCAUUGCAUGCCAAAGCGGUGGUCACCGCGUGCACUGGUGCACACGGUGCCACAAGUGAUGCCAAACCAUGUCUGUGGGUUAGUCGCUCCUGGGUAAGAUGUAACUACGGUGGUAACUAGGUGAAAGAGGCUCUAGGUAAAUAGUUAGUGAGCUCUGAAGUUUACUGCAGUAAACUUUACAAGCUCAAUGUGGUCAACAGGGAGUUACUUGAAACCAAAGAAGUUGUCUGGGGGUUUAGCUAUGGAGGUACUAUGGUCCCGGAGGUUUUGAGGGUAAAAGGAUCAAGAUUUACUGCAGUUGCUUCACAACUGCAUACUUGGUCCAGAAAUGAAGAUCAUGAUGGUGCACUCACAUGGAGUUAUGGAAUGGGAUGAAACUUGGCAAAUCCUCAUGAUAUGGACAUAUAAAGAUGCUGUAAAAAGCUUAGGCCAAAUGGACAAACCAAAAUGGCACUUGCUUCAUAAACAUCAUUUCUGUCCAGAAACUUGAAAUAAUUAUGGUGGUCAAAUGGAUCAUUGAAAUUAUGCCAAAAUGGGUGGAGAGAUGUUUUAUGGGUAUAAGAAUGAUCUGGUAAUUUAUCAGGAUUUUGAAGCAAUAUAAAAUAUACUUGCUUCACAACCUGAAAAUAUUGCCAGAAACAAAGAUUUGCUCCUGUGCUCACAUAGAUGAUUGGAUGGGGCUGCAAAUGGGUGAAGGGGGUUAAUAUGAUCACAUUAAGGAGUGUGCAAAAGUUCAACUCAUUUGGGUACUCCUAGCUAGUACUUCCUUCGCAAAGCUUUCCGUCUGACAGAAACUUUGAAAAAUCACUGAGGAAGAUUGGCUAGGCAAAUAAAUUUGAACUUGUGCAUGAGGCAAUUAUUUGGACAUAUAAACAUGCCCAAAAAGUUUGGGAGUCAAUAUGAGAAAUAUAAAUGACACUUCCUUCACAAAGUGCCAUUCAGGGCAUAAUAGGAAAUGAAUUAUUGGAGGAUUAUUUUUUAACAUGGCAAUGAAAAGUUUUGCCAUAUUUGAUCAAGAUAUGACCCAAAAAAUUUAUGAGAAUUAUUUGGGAAUUUUAGGAGUGAGGGAAAUAUAGGUUGCUUCACAACCUAGGGCAAUUGGAGUUAUUCCUUUAAUAGAAAAAGGAGUGUUCCCAAUAAAAAGAAUAUUGGGAUUUGGGCUAGGAUGGAAAUGACAGGGUCUAGGGAAGGAUUUGGAUAUGACAAGCCACUCUGAAAGCAAAGAAGAGGUCAUCUUCUUCAGUUUCCAGACCACAAAGCCACGGAAAAAGAAAACUCAGGCAAAAACCUCGGGAAAACAAAAGAAAAAGAAAGGGCCAAAAAUCAGGCUGUCACAAACCUUACCCCCUUAAAGAAAUCUCGUCCUCGAUAUUUGGUUGCUUAGGGAACUAGUAUGAAUAUUCUGACUUAAGGAAACCGUUUCCAACUCGGGUAUCCUUUUUCCUUCAUUAGUGUUCCCAUUAAAUUUUUUAUCUGACAGGCCCUGGGGUGGUUUGCUUUACUGUAUCCACAUUCUGCCAGAUCUUACCUGGCUUGCUCAUUCUUAUAUAGGCUCCAAUUUAUUUUAGAUCUGCUGACUAGCUGAGUGUGAUUUGAUUAUCAUGACUGAAAUAUAUGUCCGUCUCACAAAUCCGAAAAUGAUUUCCGCUGGGUGUGCCACCCGGCACUGACAACCUUUCGUGUAAUGAUGCUCAGAUUUUUCUGAUGAAAACUCAAGCUCUGACUCAUUGCAUUUGGAUUUCUCCACUAAAUGCAGGUCCUUUGGGGUUCCAAACAGUGAGUUAAAACAUAAUCGUUUCCUGACAGAUUCUGACUCAUCACAGAAGUUUCUGAAUCAUCUUAACUGGUUCCAUUGUCUUGAGUAUCGGAUCUGUACCAAAUAUUUGAUUGUCUCCUGUCGCGGCCAGCAUAAAGGGUUUGGCCUGUAUGAUAAUAUCUGCAGACUUGACUGAAAUUUUUUGUUCACGACAGGCUAUCCAUGAUGAUUCAUAUAAGUGAGGACUCAGGCUUCCAGACUAUUAUUCCUCAUGUCGAUUACUCAUGCUGUAGGCAUAUCCAUGUGGGUCAAUACUGUCUUAGACUGCCCGAGGGAUCUGCACCAUGGGGGUCGUGCAACAAUUUUCAUUCCUGCAUCACUGGUCUUGCUCCUUCAUUAUUGUUUUCUUGGUCUGGAUCUUUGGCUGAAAGAGCUGGGCCAUAUUGUUUCUUUCUAUAACCAUAGGUAUUGUCGGUGCAAUUUUUUGGCAAUUGUAGCUUAUCCUCAUUUUUCUGACAGGGUAACCCAUUAAAUGACAGGUUCACACCUCUCAAAUUCUGAUUGUUGGGAAAUGAUCAUCCGAAACCUUUGCAAGAAAUCGGCAAAUAAAUCAGUAGCCACCAGAACGGUCUUUACAACUCAGAUCCGGGACAUUACUGAAAUAACUCAACCAUGGCUCAGGACGGCCGAAAAAACAGCUCAGAGCACGAGACCGGGUCGAUAAGAAGAAGGUGGCAGCUCCCUAAAAUAGCCAAAAAGCAGCUAUAGGGCUACUGUCACAAAAAGAAACUCAACAGCUGUACGAGACGGCCGAAAAGCAGGUCAGACUCGUGACAAUUGUUGAAGAGAGAAACAAAAAUCGGCAUCCACCCCGAAUAGCUAGAAACAGGGCGUGGUGACGUCAUUGGAGAAAAAGGGGGACAAGGGCUCAUCAGGAUCAUUUUCCAGUUCACAAGUACUUGUAUUGAGCUCAUUGAUGUCGUCAAUCCUCAUAAUCCUUUGUCACACUGCAGUGUAUACUGGCUUUAUUCGCGUAACCAUCCUCACGUGGUUUUCAUAUCCUCAUCCGAGUGACUUGUAAGAUCUUUGGUGGUAUGCUCAUCGCAUAUAUAUGAGGACCUGAUUCCGAGACAGACGUGUAUUCUGACUGAUUCUUGAUUCUGACCAAAAUGUUGCGGAUCUGAUUCUCGGGAUUCACUGCCAUAUGCUGUCAAUUCACAGCGUACUACCUUGUACCAAUGUCUUACUGAGGAAUAUUUGCUGGCUUGUGCUCGAAACUUUCAUCGGACAGCUUGCUGGAGAAGACUGGGUAUCGUGCUUCAGAAGCUUACUCCCUUAAAGACUUUGCUGGGGAAAGACUCGGUACCUUAUGCUGGAAGCUUUUGCGGUUGCUUACUGAAGAAGACAGGGUACCUUGCACGGGAAAUCAUCCACGUAUCGUACUGAGGAAGAUAGAUGAAUCUUGCCUUGGAAACUUCUCUGGUAUUUUGCGAGGGAAGAUUGGUUGCUUACACCAGAAGCUUCUUAUUGUGAUAUGCGGACCGAUUUCAACAUAUACAACCAUCUGAAUAUUUUUGCUAUUAAUUUCUUGCAUGAAACGGGGUUUUACUGGACUAUCCUCCUUUCUGAGUAUAUGCCAUAUUUUUGCUUGCUUCCAGGUACAUCGAGUUCCAAAAUCAUCCUCAACGAAAAAUUAAACUUGCAUCUGAGCCAUACCUUUGAUAAUAUUCUGUCAACCUUGCACAUAAUUUAUCUUCCUGCUAAUUUAAUCAUUUUGUUGUGAUGAGUGCACGCUAAUUUAAACUUGAUACUGACGGUCCAUCCAGGAUUUCUUUUGCAUCCAGACAAGAUAUUCCCAAUUUUCAUUGCAGUCUGCUGAUAAUUCCAUUUUGUUUUGCUGAAUUUCCAAAUAUAUGCAUAUCUUGCUGACUCUUCAGGUCCGGUGUCGGCUGACGAACAACUUUAAUAGGGGAAAAAUUUGUAACACCGAAGGCCCAAAGAAAGGAACAACAGAAACGACUAAAACAAAAGCACACAAGCAUUCUAGUAAUAUAAUUAAUCAAGCAAUCAUCACAUAUUACUGCUACUCACACAAUAACAUGCAUGCCUACUUAAGCACACAAAUUUCGCGGAAUCUCCGGUACUACGUUCUAACAUGCUAUGACGAUGUGCACGAGGACAAAUAAAUGUGUGGAAGAGUUGGUGUAAACAACGCUACACCAAGUGCUAGCUUAGCCAGGUGGCAACCUGAACUAGCUCAGAGGCGAGGACGCACUCGGUAAUCAUGUAGUGGGACACGAAGGUCGCAACCACAUUAUUAUCAAGCGGACGAAAAAAGAUCCGUACUCGUCCAAGAAAUAGGAUAGCGGGGGAAAAACUGAGGCUGCUGACAUUGCCCUUUCUUGAUAACUGAGAUCAUUAAGGGUUGCCAACACGACGAAAUAAAAGAACGAUCCAGGAUAGACGCAUGUCCAUCACCGAAAUGAUAGACGGGACUGAAAGAAAGACAUCGGUGCGAUACCUGAGCACCAUUUUUGCGAACAGUGUCGGGAUCACUUGGCAUCACUCUGUUGGGACAGAAAUGACACCAAACACCGAAAGAAAAAAGGAACUGGAGAAAUGCAAAGGUUGAGCUGUAGUGGAUCCGAACCGAUGCCAACUACACUCACCAGAUAAACCGUUAGUGACAAAUAAUAAGGCUAUAUGCAUGCUAUGCGACAAACAAAUGCAGCAAUCAAGUGCAACAAACCAACUGGGGUCUAUACUACCGCUUUCUAACGUUCGCGCGGUCUAGGGCGUCCUACAGCCAGACCUACUCUGAUACCAAGCGAUGUGGCACCCCGGCUCAGAGAAAACCGGAACGCCCCGUAUUCCAGCCCAGAGAUCGAGGAGAAGUCUUCUGGAAUACGGCACUGCUCAGCAUAGAACAAACCAGCUUUCUAUUAUUACACGAAUAUGAAUACAAGGUCUCCGAUAUUACAAUGAAUAACAUCGGCACGGCGACACUACGCCAUCCUCAGUUGCUCUUUGCAAGCAGCAGAACAACUCAAAGCAGCGGAAUAACUCUAGCAGCAGAACAACGACGACGGUGGUGAACUCCACUCCGCAGGGACUCUGGCUGGAACGCUUAUCCUAGCUCGCACGAACGGAAACCACGACAAGCAAGCAAUCAAAUCCGGCAUGACCUGCAAACUGGCAUGACACGCCAGGUCAGUACAUUGAAUGUACUUGCAAGCUCACAAUAAUCCAGAAGCAUUCAAGACAAACAACAGCAUGGCAAUUACAGGUUAAACAGGAAUUAUCAUGAUAUCAUCAGAAUAACAUGGCAUGACCAAUAUAAACAUGAUACAGCUAACACAACAUGAGCAUAUUAAUCCGACAAUACUAGCAUGCAACAUGAUGACACUAUAUGCACCACUUAUUCUGCUCGGGUUACCUCGUAACCAACUCAUGCAUCACUUACCAACCUCGUACAUCACACGAUCAUCUCAGGAUCAAAUCAAGCUUGGUAUAAACAAUACCGUAGUAAUCAGUAAAUGACCACAAGGAGCUUGAUCUUUACCCAUGACUCUCGUACAACAUCACGAUUAUACAACGACUCGGUAUCCUCGAUACCAUCGUGAUCCUUACGGCGAUCACAACCACGACCAACACUUGGUCCCAAACCGUGAUCCUUACGGCGAUCACAACCCGACCAAUACAUGGCCCGUGAUCCUUACGGCGAUCACAACCCGACCACUAACUGGCCCGUGAUCCUUACGGCGAUCACAACCCGACCACUAAAUGGCCCGUGAUCCUUACGGCGAUCACAACCAACUUAUCUCAUUGUUAUUAAGCACAUUAUUCUUAUUACUGUUGACUCAUGGUGUGACCUAGUUUCGACCUGGGCCCUUAUCCGCGGGCGCGGCUAUCGAUAGAUUUAAUAUACACUCUGCAGAGGUUAGUACACUGUACCCACAC
rnacentral:lncRNA from 1 species